rnacentral:rRNA from 1 species
UACGUAGGGUGCAAGCGUUGUCCGGAAUUAUUGGGCGUAAAGAGCUCGUAGGCGGCCUGUCGCGUCGACUGUGAAAACCCGUGGCUCAACCAUGUGGUCUGCAGUCGAUACGGGCAGGCUAGAAUUCGGUAGGGGAGACUGGAAUUCCUGGUGUAGCGGUGAAAUGCGCAGAUAUCAGGAGGAACACCGGUGGCGAAGGCGGGUCUCUGGGCCGAUAUUGACGCUGAGGAGCGAAAGCGUGGGGAGCAAACAGG